rnacentral:rRNA from 1 species
AUGAACGCUGGCGGCGUGCCUAAUCCAUGCACGUCGAGCGAACAGACGAGGAGCUUGCUCCUCUGACGUUAGCGGCGGACGGGUGAGUAACACGUGGAUAACCUACCUAUAAGACUGGGAUAACUUCGGGAAACCGGGGCUAAUACCGGAUAAUAUAUUGAACCGCAUGGUUCAAUAGUGAAAGACGGUUUUGCUGUCACUUAUAGAUGGAUCCGCGCCGCAUUAGCUAGUUGGUAAGGUAACGGCUUACCAAGGCAACGAUGCGUAGCCGACCUGAGAGGGUGAUCGGCCACACUGGAACUGAGACACGGUCCAGACUCCUACGGGAGGCAGCAGUAGGGAAUCUUCCGCAAUGGGCGAAAGCUUGACGGAGCAACGCCGCGUGAGUGAUGAAGGUCUUCGGAUCGUAAAACUCUGUUAUUAGGGAAGAACAAAUGUGUAAGUAACUAUGCACGUCUUGACGGUACCUAAUCAGAAAGCCACGGCUAACUACGUG